UACGGAGGGUGCAAGCGUUAUCCGGAUUUACUGGGUUUAAAGGGUGCGUAGGUGGGUUUGUAAGUCAGUGGUGAAAUCUCCGAGCUUAACUCGGAAACUGCCAUUGAUACUAUAGAUCUUGAAUUAUCUGGAGGUAAGCGGAAUAUGUCAUGUAGCGGUGAAAUGCUUAGAUAUGACAUAGAACACCAAUUGCGAAGGCAGCUUACUACGGAUAUAUUGACACUGAGGCACGAAAGCGUGGGGAUCAAAC
rnacentral:rRNA from 1 species